CUAGAAAAAUGGGUUAAAUUAACCCAAAUACCUCAUAUUUACUACUGAUAUGCAUCUCCUUCACCCUCUUUCUGUAUUUACUGUUUGGAAUGGCAUACAUGAAUGCAAAGACAUGAAUGAGGGUCACCAGAGACAACAGUGGGCUCUGUCCAGUCUGUCCAGGGAGUGAGCUGAGAAAGGGUCGUGGUCAGGCGUUGGACAGGUUGUGUCAACACCAUCACACUGAUGUGAAACUUCUUUCAGAGCUAGUCAACAUAAGCCCUGGUUACUCCUGUACAUGAGGGCGAUCUCUCACAUGAUUUAAUUUUGAGUGUGAUGUUUGUGGGUUUUUAUGAACAACAGAAUUUGAGGCAAUGUCUGUAAGCAGUUAGAAAGUGUGAUCCCGGUUACAGCUCUUGUAACAUGAGAGAUCAGUGAUAUACAAGAUCAGGUAUACAAGCAUCUGCUGCACCCUGCUGUGAGAAGAAUUUAUAGUUAAGUUUAAGUUUAUUUACUUUAUUAAUCCCCCUGAGGUGAAAUUCAAUGCCAAAUUUAAGUGUCUUUACUGCCAGCUGAUUUAUGUUUACCUCAAAGACCCCUGUCCUUUGACACUUGAGAUGGACAAUAUUGGAUUUUUUCCCCAAUAUAUAACAACUUAUUUGGCCGACAACUGAAAUGUAUACAUCCACAGACACAUCAUAGUCCAGUGAGCUAUAUUUAGUUUUAAAAAGCUGUACAUCAAAAUAUAUUACACACUGAAUGCCAUAUUCAGUUAAUCAUCCUAGGUAUACCAUUGAAUAAAUGUGCAUCUGCAGUUUUUAGAUUCUUACAUCAAGACUGCCUGAAACUGUGGCAAAUGGUAUUAACCCCCUAAAAAGCUGCAACAACAUAUGAGGCAUAAUUGAGCAUGGGAAUGUCCAGCAUAUACUUCCAUCAUAAUGUCCCAAGUCUCUUUACCUAUAGCUCUGGAGCCGGCUCUUUGGCCCCUCACUAGUGGCUCCCUGUGGCUUUUAAAAGAAUCACAGCGUUUACUUUUUGAAACAUUUUAUUUUUUAUUUAUCAUUUUUGAAGGCCUAAAGAAAUUCUUACAGUCUCUAACUGUAGAAAUGUGUACUUAUAAACAGAAUUUUAAAAAAAGUUUUUAACAUUUUGUCAACUAUAUCUAUGGCCUGAUAACCUUUCCUCUGAAUGUUGCUCGGGUCGUGUCUAAAUGAACCUCAGUAAUUGUAGCUGAUCUUGAAUCACCUUAGUGAGGUUGGCUAUAGACUCUGGGAGGAAACAGACACGUACAGAGGACACUAUGAAUGACACCUCAUCUAUGCAAGCAUAGAACAUACAGCAAGUAUUAAGGUGUCCACGUGAGCCUACGUACACACAAAUACUCACACUUUCAACCAUGGGAAGCAAUAUUAUAAUACAUAUCUUUACAGUUGUUACAGUCACAGUUCUUCCAAAUAAAUCUUGCAUGUUGUGCCGUCCAAUGGACACCACCCAAUCCCCAAACAGGGGGGUCCUGAUCCCCUUAAUAUGACUGGAUGUUGGAGUGUUUUGGGAGAUUUAGACCUAUUAGUAAUGUUGAUAUGUUUUUGAUGCAAUAGUCUGUGUAACCGUCAUAGUAGGACUCAAAUAUGUUUCUUAGGUCCAGACAGAUUUUUUUUUUAAAUGGCUCCUAUGAAAGUAAAGGUUGACCCCUGACCUAUAGCCUACACCCCAAACUCUAGUCUUCUUCAUUAGGGUUAAACAUCCUGUCACCCUCCAAAGAAGACAAAAAAUGGGUGAAAAUGUUUUUGUAGCUGUGUUUGUGACCUUUUCAUGAACCAAGUUAUGUGUUAUAUUUCGUCAUUUGUUACAUCAGCUUUUCUAUGUUUUGUUAAAAACCUGCAAAGUGAUGAUUGCAUUGCUUUUGCCUGACUGACGGGUGUCCCUCUAAUUGGAAACGAGCGCACUGGGCACCGCCCAUCCCAGCGUCAUCUAUCUCGUCUGUCUGUCUACAAACGAAACCUCACACUCCACUCACAGCCAACAAGGUAAGUUUGGAUUUAUUAAUUCAAGACUACUUUUUACAUGACUUCAAAAAAUGUUUUAUUAGAGAGCGUACUAAUUGUGACGGGUAGAAAAAAAAUAAGUACUAAAAACAGGUGAUGAAAAUGCACAUGAGUAAUAAAAUAGAGGUAAAUUGUGAAAUGGGGAAAAAAGUGACCGAUUAUCAGCUUUUUGGAUUAAUUUUAUUUCAUUUGAUUAAAACAUGAUCAUCAUUUCUCCGUCUAACAUUGAUCAUUCAUUAUUCACAAAACAAAAUUGAUCAUGUAAGGGAGGUGGCCUCGAGGGCGGGAGGCACAGAAAUAAUUAGAAACAAAAACGGAAGUAAUGAAUUCCUACAAAUUAAUUAUGGACGUAAUGAAAUAACAGUUGCUUUGAUUAUUAGUUGUGUCCUCAGCCUACCAGUCAUUCACAACACCGAACUGACAUUUAUUGAUUACAGCAGGGGUGUCAAACAUAUGGCCCGUGGGCCAGAACCUUCCAAAGGGUCCAGUCUGGCCCCACUCAUUGGCUCUUAUUCAUGAAAUGUUAGUAAGUCUGUGAGUGUAUUUGCACCUUAAAAACCUCUGCACUAAAAACCUGGGCACCCUGCAUGGUCAAUACUCAGUAGCGCCCCCUUUGGCAGGUAUCACAGCUUCUAAUCACAUUUGUAUCAAGCUCAGAGUCUUUCAAUUCUUGUUUGGAGGAUUUUCACUCAUUCUUCCUGCAAAAGGCGUCUAGCUCUGUGAGAUUCUUUGGCCGUCUUCAUGCACUGCUCUUUUGAGGUCUGUCCACAGAUUUUUAAUGAUGUUUAGGUCGGGGACUGUGAGGGAAACCUUCAGCUUGCACCUUUUGAGGUCGUCCAUUGUGGAUUUGGAGUUUGUUUGUGUAAGGGAACGUGUGUGUCCUCCCGGCUGUGAUGGCAGCAGUAAGAGCCAAGGAGCCAUGGUUUACUGACCAUGUGACUAAGGUGGCACUGCACAUCUCCUGUGAGAAUCUGCCGGAUGUGGAAAUGUUCUCAAAGUGUGACCCUCUGUGUGUGCUUCACAUGAACAGCUCAGGGCCUCACUGGUGUGAGAUUGGCCGGACGGAGAAAAUCAAGAAUUGCCUUAAUCCCAAGUUCUCCAAGACUUUUGUCAUUGACUACUACUUUGAGAUGGUGCAGAAGCUGAGGUUUGAAGUGUACGACAUCGACAAGGAAGACCACAGUCUGCAAGAUGCGGACCUCCUGGGAGAACUGGAGUGUACCUUGGGAGAGAUUGUGUCUUCAAGGAAUCUAACAAGACCACUUGUCAUGACAGACAAGAGACCAGCAGGGAAAGGAACCAUCACUAUAUGUGCUGAAGAAAGAACAGACAACAGGGUGGUGGAAUUCAAAGUUGCUGGUAGAAAUCUGGAUAGAAAGACUUACUUCAGUAAGUCCGACCCUUUCCUGGAAUUCUACAAGGAGACAGAAACUGGAUGGCAGCUCGUGCACAGGACGGAGGUGGUGAGAAACACCCUAAACCCAGUAUGGAGACCGUUCCGUAUCCCAAUGCAGUCACUCUGUGGAGGUGACAUGGAGAGACCUACUAUAAAGGUAGAUUGUUAUGACUACAACAGCAGCGGAUCUCACGACCAUAUUGGAUUAUUUGAGACCACACUCUCUGAAAUGCUGCAGGCAUCACAAGCAUAUGAGGCCAAGAAAAACAGGAUGAAAGGAAUCCCAAACUCUUGUAUUAUCAUUAUUAAACACUGCAAGAUAGUGAAGGAGUAUUCUUUCCUUGAUUACAUAAUGGGCGGCUGUCAGAUUCACAUGACUAUUGGUAUUGAUUUCACAGGAUCCAACGGGGAUCCCAGCUCCCCCAAGUCCCUCCAUUACAUCAACCCUGAGGGCUGUAGCGAGUACCAGGCAGCUAUCCGGGCAGUGGGAAACGUCAUCCAGGACUAUGGCAGUGACAAGAUGUUCCCUGCUUUUGGAUUUGGAGCCCUGAUCCCUCCUUCUGGGCAGGUCAGCCACAAGUUUCCCAUCAACUUCAACCCAUCAAAUCCAUCUUGCGCAGGUAUAGAGGGUGUGCUCCAUGCCUACCAGCAGUGUCUGCACAAAGUGAGGCUUUACGGUCCCACAAACUUUUCCCCAAUCAUCAACCACGUAGCCCAUUUGGGCCGGCAAGCCAUGCAGCAGGAAACUGCCUCUCAAUACUUUAUUCUGCUGAUCAUCACCGAUGGACUGAGCACAGACAUGGAUGAGACUCGCAAGGCCAUCGUCAACGCCUCUCAUCUGCCCAUUUCAAUCAUCUUUGUUGAAUUAGGGAGAGCAGACUUCAGUGACGUUGAGUUCCUGUAUGGAGUUGAUGGAGUUGUACGUACUGCAGCAGGCGAGGCCGCCAUGCGCGACAUUCUGCAGUUUUUGCCUUUCAGGCAGUUCCAGAACUGUCCUCAUGAAGUGCUUGCUCAGAACAUCUUGGCAAAAGUCCCAGCUCAGGUGGCAAGCUUCUUCAAUACCAUGGGUUUGAGGCCAUCCUGCAGUGACAGACCUCCUCCUGACCUCUCAGCAUCUGCCUCCACAGUGAUGUCUCCUGAGGACAACAUGCAACAUCCAGCCUGCAAUAAUGUCGUAUCAGGUACUGGUGAAAUGCAAUCCCACCGGAUUCCUCUCAAGCUAGGAUUUUUAAGAAGACUCAAGAUCAGGACCCUCUCAACCUACAAAUGAUCCCAUUCCUGUUUGGAUCUCUGCCUGAAGCAACUAUCACUACUCAACAUGUUCUACUGACGGGUGUCCCCCUAACUGGAAUCGAGCGCACCAGGCACCGCCCACCGCAGCGCGAGCUCCCUCUCCACGGUUGUGUCACUGCUACACAUCAAACCACACAGGACUCACAGCUAACGUCAGCCAGCUAACAAG